GAGGGAUGGUGGCUGAAUGGUAAAACAUCUUCUUGGCAUGCAGAAGGCCCGGGUUCAAUCCCUCCCGCCCCCCGAGGAUCA
rnacentral:tRNA from 1 species